AUUUUUUGGGUGAUAGUAAAAAGAGAUGCUCUUUCCUCUUUCCAUAGCUUUUUCGAAUAAAACCAUGCAAAAUUUAUUAUUAUCUUUUCUGGUCCCCAUUUAUACUACUAGUAACGGUUACUAUCUCUUUUUUGGCUGAUCCUUCCUUCUCACAGCUACAAAGAGAAAAAAAAAAAAACCAGCAAAGAGAAAGAGGUUAAAAUUAGGUCCCCCACUGUGACUGCCACUGCCUCAACCCUAAAAAAUCUUAUUUAAUGCUCUUUCUUAUAACAAAUGUAUAUACAAAACAC
rnacentral:lncRNA from 1 species